AUCACGAUCGUGCGGACGCACCCAUGAGUCUCGAAGUCCAGACGACUCACCACCAACUCCCACCGCCUCCUCACCGCCUCCCGGCCUCCUCCUGCCCCCUCCAUCCCGACGAACACGUCACCGGCUUCUGCGCCUCCUGCCUCCGCGAGCGCCUCGCCGGCCUCGAUACCUCCUCCGCUUCCGGCCGGAAGUCCGCUUCCUCCGCCUUCAAAUCCCUCUUCUUUAAGGCCCCC
rnacentral:lncRNA from 1 species